rnacentral:piRNA from 1 species
UACGCGGUACCCGGAUGGCCUCUCUCC